UCACGAAUCUUCCGCAAUGGUCGCAAGACUGACGGAGCAAUGCCGCGUGCAGGAUGAAGGUUUUCGGAUCGUAAACUGCUUUUAUCAGGGAAGAACAAAUGACGGUACCUGAUGAAUAAGCCACUGCUAAACUCGUGCCAGCAGCAGCGGUAAUACGAGUGUGGCAAGCGUUAUCCGGAAUUAUUGGGUGUAAAGCGUCUCUAGGCGGUCUAAAAAGUUCUUGGUCAAACCUUCUGGCUCAACCAGAAGUGUGCCAAGAAAACUUUUAGACUAGAGAAUGGGAGAGGCAAGCGGAAUGGCCGGUGUAGUAGUUAAAUGCGUUAAUAUCGGCUAGAACACCAAAAGCGAAGGCAGCUUGCUGGAACAUUUCUGACGCUCACAGACGAAGGCGUGGGGAGCGAAUGGG
rnacentral:rRNA from 1 species